GUUCCGCCGCCGGAGGCGGGGCAGUAGGGCCGAGGGGGUCGGGCUAGCAGGCGUGCCGCUUCUGAAGUAGGCAGGCUCAGCGCGCUUGCGCGGAGCGGCCCUGCGCGCAGUGAGGCAGUGGCGGGGGAAGGCACCGGUGGGGCCGACGGGCGGGCUGAGAAGGGAAGCGGGCGAGCGAAGUCCCAGUGCGCGCCGCGGCCGCCCGGGUACCCUCCCCUUCCGGGCGUGAGGCGCUGAGAGGAAAGCCGAGCGGAGCGGACUCGCCUAGGCGGCGGGGUGCUUCUCGGGUCUCCCAAGACCGGCCUCCCGCGGCUUCGGCGCUCCAGUCGCGGGGCCCGGUUCCUCAACACACCUAGCUCCAGCCACCGUCAGAGCUUGUCCCCAGUCCGUCGAAGUCCCGGCGGUAGCCCGGGCUCUUGGUGGGGAGGAUGACGGAGCUGCAGUCGGCGCUGCUACUGCGAAGACAGCUGGCAGGUGACCUACUUCUGCCUGGGUAUUGGCAGAUUUCUUUCUUUGUCCUUGAAGUUCAGUAACUUCAUCAGAAUAUAUCUCGCUCUUGGUGUGAUUCUCUAUUACAUUUUCCUGUUAAUGAUGUUUUCAGUCCCACUUCUCACUACUGACCUUCCUCGUUCAUCGGUCACUGACUUGGCGCCUCUCUGGGGUUCUGCCCAGAAGAUUUAGCCUUCCUCCUCCGCCUCAGCCCCUCUAACUCAACAAAAAUCCAGUGGAAGGCUUUUCAGCAGGCUUAAUAGACGACAAUGAUCUCUAUCGUUGGGAAGUCCUUAUUAUUGGUCCUCCAGAUACACUUUAUGAAGGUGGUGUUUUUAAGGCUCAUCUCACUUUUCCUAAAGAUUAUCCCCUACGGCCUCCUAAAAUGAAAUUCAUUACAGAGAUUUGGCACCCAAAUGUUGAUAAAAAUGGUGAUGUUUGCAUUUCUAUUCUUCAUGAGCCUGGGGAGGAUAAAUAUGGCUAUGAGAAGCCAGAGGAACGCUGGUUACCUAUCCAUACUGUGGAAACCAUCAUGAUUAGUGUCAUUUCUAUGCUGGCAGAUCCUAAUGGAGACUCACCUGCAAAUGUAGAUGCUGCGAAAGAAUGGAGGGAAGACAGAAACGGAGAAUUUAAAAGGAAAGUUGCCCGCUGUGUAAGAAAAAGCCAAGAAACUGCUUUUGAGUGAUGUUUAUUCAGUAGCUAGUAACUUUACUUAUUUCAGGGUCUCCAAUUGAGAAACAUGGCACUGUUUUUCCUGCACUCUACCCACCUAUUGCUGGACUUCUGUUGUAACAAGUUGGCAAACUCUGGCUGGAACUGGGCUGCAAUAAAACAUGCCAGUCAUUAAUGCUGACAAGAGCCUAACAAGUGCCAACUUACAGAUGAUUACGCAUUUUGAAUUCUAAUGAACUGUUUUAACCUUCAGGAAGAAUUGUAAAGACCUGUACAUAGCACAACAUGAUCCGGAUAAUAUAUAUACUGUUCAUGUACAUCCACAAACACACCUUGUACCAAAUAAUGCUUUCUUGUAGUAGAAUAAGAAUCGUGUAAAUUCUAAAAGACUUUAGCAGGUUUUCUUUUCCCAUUCAUCGUUUUUUAUCAGUUCAAAAAGAUUCCUUAAAGCAUGUCAGGUGAAAACCAAUAAGGAUUAAAAGUUUCCAUAUAAUUUCCUUUAAACCAUUGAGUCUUUCAUUACACUCUUUCCAUUUACUAAUCUUUUAUAUUUUCUUUGUUUUGCCACACUCCCCUUUCCUUUUAUCUCUUCUAUCUGCCAGAAAGUUCUCAAAUCAUUUAGUUAAAAUACUGAAAUACUAGUAAAUUACUUGAUUUUCUCAUGAUGACUUCAGAGGUGGGGUCAUCACUAGGUGCUUUGUCCUUUUUGUACUCUGAUUCACCCAUCUCUUGGAUUGGAUGUAGCAAUAACAUUUUCUGGCUGUUGAGAGCUCUUGAUCCUAGUCAUUAUCUCCUGAGAACUUUAAAAGAAAAAAAAUGCAAAGUCUGUUCUAGGUUCAUCUUAGUGAAAUUUAUUCCAAACAAUACAAAAAUCCAGAUUUGGUUUUAUUUUUAUCCUUAAGUUGUCUAAUAUUAAGGUUGGAUGAAUAUAGCAUGCUCAGCUACAGGCUUUCUACAUCUGGGAUUGCUAUUAAAAAUGCUAUUUGUCCUAUUACCCUUCUCCUUAGUCCACAUUUGUUUCUUCUUACAGCAGAUUUUCCUCACCUAUUGUACAAAGAAAUUGCGAUGUAUAUUUUCAUGUAAUUUGAUUUUGGAAUUUUGUCACCUUAUGUAGUGAGUUCUUCCAAAAUAUAAUUUUUUUCCAAUAAUUGUCAAGUUGUUGGCUUUUAUUGUAUUAAAUGAAGGUUAUAGUACUGAAUACCAGAGAAGUGCAGUUUAGAAAAAUCUCAGGUUGAUUCCUUAUGCAAACAAACUGAAUACUUGAAAAUCUCAUGGCCAUGGCAGUAUACUAUUGGGUUCUGUCUAGAUUCUUUAUUUGAAUCUGAAAGUAUUACAGGGGAAAGUCCUUUGCUAACUGACGUACAGAUUUUGUCACUGACAUAGUGUACUUAGAUUUGAUUUUUGAGGGUAAGUACAUUUCCUAAGCAGUUUUAUAAAACAACUUAUGUGAUGGGUAAAAUUAGUACAUUAAAUGUUGAAGACAGGCAGACCUAAGCUGCUGUCUGGUUUUAGCUGAGAAUGGGAAGUUGAGCUAGAGCAUAAAACACUACCUGUUACUUGGUACUGUUUGAGUGUGAGAGUAGGUGUGGUCUGCCCUUGGGGUUUGGAUAAAUCUUUUGGCAGAAGAGGGAAUGAAAGGAUUCCUGUUGGUAUCGGACCUUUCAACUUCUUAUGUCUUUUUAAAGCAGAGGGGAAAUGGAUCAGAUGUGGCUAUGAUACAGCAACAUUUUAAAAUCAGUUUUCUCAGAAGCAUUGUAAAAUCCUAUAAACAUGAAAACCCAUAAAUGUGUAGCAACUGUGAACACCUUGGUUUCAUUGGAGCCCAAAAAUCUUCAAGAACUUUUAGACACCUGUUCCCCAACCCAGACUAGAAGAGUCAUUCUACAGUGCUACUGUCCUCCUAUAAGGGACAAUCAGAAAUUGUUCCCACACUGGUUGCUUUUGCAAAUGUGGAGUUGCAUUUUUGGUCUUUUAUUGCUGUGAUUCUAGCAGUCUGUUGAUUUCAAAUCCAGGGUUUGACUGCUCAUCAAGUAGUAAAUUAGUAACUCAGGGACAACUAUUUCUGAACUUAUAAGUGGCACUGUAAUGUCUUUACCUUUGGAUGACCAUGUGUUUCUUUGGGCUAGAUCAAGGACUACUGGAAAGGUAGGGAUUGCCUUUCUCCUGAAGCUGUUUCCCCUUAUGGUGUCCUGAGCAUUCUCUACACAUGAAACUGAAGCCUAAGUGUUAGGACUUGCUUUUCUAUCAGAGGUGUCAUCUGUGCCUUUCCUAGUGUUCAUCUGACAAUAUGGAUUUCAAUGCCUCUACAUUUGACUUAAACUCACACUCAGGUGGCACUAAACCAAGUGGCAUUUGUCCCAUUAAUGCAUCAUCAUUAGUAUGAGGCAAUUCUGUUUUAGAAAAAGUCCCAUCAUUACCCCAAAACCCUGCCACCUACGCCACCCAUCAGCUACUCCCACCAAAUCCUUUAGAUUAUAGAAUUGUUGGCUGAUAACUAAUUUGUUCAGAGUUCUUGUAGAGGAUUGCAAAUUUUAGUCUUUUUGUAAUGGGAUAAAAUAUUGAUGGCUUUAUGACCUCAGCGUUUAAAAUUCACAUGGAGUUGAUUUUCUUGUCAUUAGAAGGUAAUGCUUGAACAUUUGAUUUUUCUAUUCUGUGAUACCUGGGUGUCAUACUAUCUUUUAAUGGCCUUUGGUCCCAGUUGUGAAAUUUUAUUUAUAUGCUCAUUCAUUCUCUACAAACCUGCCCCGUUGGGUCUUGGUGCCUGUGUAUCAUUGUCUGGUCUCUAGUUGGUGGAAUUACCCUUUUUUGUACUGCCACUUCUCAACAUUUUUGAAGUUUGACAUAAUGUUGCUUCAUUCCAGUUUUUUCUUUUUUUUAGUUCUGUAAUUUGUUGACUGUAUUUAACUAUGUGAGCUUUUUUUGUGAUGUUUACUGUAUUGUAAAGCACCUUAAUCAUGUGAUGGGUGCUCUAUAAAUCAAUAAAUGAUGACUUAGAGGCUGUA